rnacentral:rRNA from 1 species
UACGUAGGGUGCAAGCGUUAAUCGGAAUUACUGGGCGUAAAGCGUGCGCAGGCGGUUGUGCAAGACAGAUGUGAAAUCCCCGGGCUCAACCUGGGAACUGCAUUUGUGACUGCACAGCUUGAGUGCGGCAGAGGGGGAUGGAAUUCCGCGUGUAGCAGUGAAAUGCGUAGAUAUGCGGAGGAACACCGAUGGCGAAGGCAAUCCCCUGGGCCUGCACUGACGCUCAUGCACGAAAGCGUAGGGAGCAAACAGG